rnacentral:misc_RNA from 1 species
GAUGAAGAACGCAGUGAAAUGCGAUAAGUAAUGCGAAUUGCAGAAUUCAGUGAGUCAUCGAAUCUUUGAACGCACAUUGCGCCCUGUGGUAUUCCGCAGGGCAUGCCUGUUCGAGCGUCAUUUCAACCCUCAAGCUCUGCUUGGUGUUGGGCCCUGCCCGCUCGCGGCCGGCCCUAAAGACAGUGGCGGUGCCGUCUGGCUCUAAGCGUAGUACAUCUCUCGCUCUGGUGCCCGGCGGUGUCCUGCCAGAACCCCCCAACUCUGUGGUUGACCUCGGAUCAGGUAGGGAUACCCGCUGAACUUAAGCAUAUCAAUAAGCGGAGGA